rnacentral:rRNA from 1 species
CGGCAACAGCUCAAAUUUGAAAUCUGGCCUCUCGGGGUCCGAGUUGUAAUUUGUAGAGGAUGUUUUGGGUACCGCCCCGGUCUAAAUUUCUUGGAACAGGACGUCAUAGAGGGUGAGAAUCCCGUAUGUGACUGGCCGCCUUCGCCUAUGUGAAGCUCUUUCGAC